rnacentral:rRNA from 1 species
AAGUUUUCCCGAAUUUUAGAGGGCUAAAAGCUUAUAAAUUUUAAUGUUGAAAAAUUAUUUAUAAUAAGUUUUUUGUAAUUAUAUGUUAGUCAUUCUUUAUUAUAUCUGGUUUUCUAAGAAAUUAAUUUAAUUAACCAAAGUAAAGAAUUUUAUUAAAAAAUUUAAUUUUUAUUUUAGGAAUUUCUAAGGGGAUAAGCUUUUAGAAAAAUUAUUAUAAUAUAAAACGUUUUGUUUUAAAUAGGAUUAGAAGUUUUCAUUUUUGGCAGUGUAUUUUAACUGAAUCUAGAAUUAUUGUGAUUUUUUUAUAUUUAAAGUUUUAUUAGAAUAAGAAAAUUAAUUUUAUAUUUUAUGUAAUAAUGAUAAAAUUAGUAAAUAAAUUUGUUAAAGGCAAAAGUUGAAAAAAAUUAUUUUAAGGAAUUCGGCAAAUUAAUUUUCCGCCUGUUUAAUAAAAACAUGUCUUUUUGGUUAUUAUUUAAAGUCCGACCUGCCCAAUGAUUAAUUUAAUGGCCGCGGUAUUUUGACCGUGCAAAGGUAGCAUAAUCAUUAGUUUUUUAAUUGAAAGCUGGAAUGAAUGGUUCGACGAGAAAAUAACUGUCUUAAAAUUAUGGGUUUGAAUUUUAUUUUUGAGUGAGAAAGCUCAAAUUAGUAUAAGGGACGAGAAGACCCUAUAGAAUUUUAUUAUUUUGUUAUUAUAGUUAAGGUUUGGGAGAUUUAGUUUUACAUUAAUAAAUUAAUUUUGUUGGGGCGAUAAAAAAAUUUAAUUAACUUUUUUUCUUAUUAUACACUAAUUCGUGAUUUAUUGAUCCAUUAAUGAUGAUUAUAAGAAUAAAUUACCUUAGGGAUAACAGCGUUAUUAAUUUGGAGAGUUCUUAUCGAUAAAUUAGUUUGCGACCUCGAUGUUGGAUUAAAAUUAACUUUUGGUGUAAGGGCUGAGAAGUUAAGUCUGUUCGACUUUU